rnacentral:rRNA from 1 species
UACGUAGGGGGCAAGCGUUGCCCGGAAUCAUUGGGCGUAAAGCGCGCGUAGGCGGCCCGGUAAGUCCGCUGUAAAAGUCCAGGGCUCAACCCUGGAAAGCCGGUGGAUACUGUCGGGCUAGAGUCCGGAAGAGGCGAGUGGAAUUCCCGGUGUAGCGGUGAAAUGCGCAGAUAUCGGGAAGAACACCCGUGGCGAAGGCGGCUCUCUGGGACGGUACUGACGCUGAGACGCGAAAGCGUGGGGAGCGAACAGG